rnacentral:rRNA from 1 species
GGGUUGUGAGGUUAAGCGACUAAGCGUACACGGUGGAUGCCCUGGCAGUCAGAGGCGAUGAAGGACGUGCUAAUCUGCGAUAAGCGUCGGUAAGGUGAUAUGAACCGUUAUAACCGGCGAUUUCCGAAUGGGGAAACCCAGUGUGUUUCGACACACUAUCAUUAACUGAAUCCAUAGGUUAAUGAGGCGAACCGGGGGAACUGAAACAUCUAAGUACCCCGAGGAAAAGAAAUCAACCGAGAUUCCCCCAGUAGCGGCGAGCGAACGGGGAGCAGCCCAGAGCCUGAAUCAGUAUGUGUGUUAGUGGAAGCGUCUGGAAAGGCGCGCGAUACAGGGUGACAGCCCCGUACACAAAAAUGCACAUGCUGUGAGCUCGAUGAGUAGGGCGGGACACGUGGUAUCCUGUCUGAAUAUGGGGGGACCAUCCUCCAAGGCUAAAUACUCCUGACUGACCGAUAGUGAACCAGUACCGUGAGGGAAAGGCGAAAAGAACCCCGGCGAGGGGAGUGAAAAAGAACCUGAAACCGUGUACGUACAAGCAGUGGGAGCACGCUUAGGCGUGUGACUGCGUACCUUUUGUAUAAUGGGUCAGCGACUUAUAUUCUGUAGCAAGGUUAACCAAAUAGGGGAGCCGAAGGGAAACCGAGUCUUAACUGGGCGUUAAGUUGCAGGGUAUAGACCCGAAACCCGGUGAUCUAGCCAUGGGCAGGUUGAAGGUUGGGUAACACUAACUGGAGGACCGAACCGACUAAUGUUGAAAAAUUAGCGGAUGACUUGUGGCUGGGGGUGAAAGGCCAAUCAAACCGGGAGAUAGCUGGUUCUCCCCGAAAGCUA